rnacentral:lncRNA from 1 species
CAGGAACCAGACCCCUUGUGUGCUACUGGUGUAACUGACAGAGUUGUUGUUAUCUAUCUGACAUAGUUGUUAUGAUCUAUUCUGACAUAGUUGUUAUGAUCUAUCUGACAUAGUUGUUGUUAUCUGACAGAGUUGUUGUUAUCUGACAGAGUUGUUGUCAUCUAUCUGACGACAGAGUUGUUGUUUUCUAUCUGACGACAGAGUUGUUGUUUUCUAUCUGACGACAGAGUUGUUGUUUUCUAUCUGACAGAGUUGUUGUUUUCUAUCUGACGACAGAGUUGUUGUUUUCUAUCUGACGACAGAGUUGUUGUUUUCUAUCUGACAGAGUUGUUGUUAUCUGACAGAGUUGUUGUUGUCUAGCUGACAGAGUUGUUGUUAUCUGACAUAGUUGUUGUUAUCUAUCUGACAGAGUUGUUGUUUUCUAUCUGACAGAGUUGUUGUUAUCUGACAGAGUUGUUGUUAUCUGACAGUUGUUGUUAUCUAUCUGACAGAGUUGUUGUUAUCUAUCUGACAGAGUUGUUGUUAUCUAGCUGACAGAGUUGUUGUUAUCUGACAUAGUUGUUGUUAUCUGACAUAGUUGUUGUUAUCUAACUGACAGAGUUGUUGUUAUCUAGCUGACAGAGUUGUUGUUUUCUAUCUGACAGAGUUGUUGUUUUCUAUCUGACAGAGUUGUUGUUAUCUGACAGAGUUGUUGUUAUCUAGCUGACAGAGUUGUUGUUAUCUAGCUGACAGAGUUGUUGUUAUCUAGCUGACAUAGUUGUUAUCUAGCUGACAUAGUUGUUGUUAUCUAGCUGACAUAGUUGUUGUUAUCUGACAUAGUUGUUGUUAUCUAGCUGACAUAGUUGUUAUCUAGCUGAAAGAGUUGUUGUUAUCUGACAGAGUUGUUGUUAUCUAGCUGACAUAGUUGUUAUCUAGCUGACAUAGUUGUUGUUAUCUAGCUGACAUAGUUGUUGUUAUCUAGCUGACAUAGUUGUUAUCUAGCUGACAUAGUUGUUAUCUAGCUGACAUAUUUGUUGUUAUCCUCUCAUAGAAGUGAUGUCAUCACUCCCCUCAGGCUAGCGUGUGUGUAAGCUCUGAGACUCUCAGGCCUAGGAAGGACUUGCUCAACCACAUUCCUCACAUACAACCCUGAGCUGAGUGGUCAGCCCCUCC